UGUCUGAAAGUAAAACUAUCACCUCAUCACAAAGUGCAGGAUGUGGUUGAUGUUUCACAGUCCAACAGGUGCAAACAAAGACACGACCUGUAAGAAGUUUCAUAUUUACUGAAGACUCCAGUGACGAGAAAAGGUCCAGCGUCACGUUAUCAGUCCAAUCCUCGGCCUCUCACCUGCCUCGACUCUGCACCCACGGGCUUCUCUCUGCCUCGGGUGCAACUUUAUGCUUAAUUAAACGAAGGGAAACUCCAAAAACAUGACUUAUGUUUGAAAAGAGGUGACUGGGCCUCUUGUUCUUUUGAUGGCCUUUGAUAAAACAACAACUUAACCUUUUUAGAUUAAAGAAACGGAAACACCUCGCAGUUUCCUCGAGAUCGCUUUCUACGCUAUCUGCAAACAUGUGAAGCUUCUUGUCUUUGCACAAAAUAAAUGUGCACGUAUGUAGGGAUGUUUGUGCGAUACUCUGCUCCUUUUAGAGUCAAAUUUAAAGAGCCCAGAGUCACAGAAGUUUGAGCUGAACUAUAACGAAACUCAGUAAAACCACAGUGAAACCCACAGCAACAGACGCGAGCUCCAACAGCCACAUCAAAUCAACAACAUCCACAGCGUUUUACCAUCUAAAAAAACAGCAAAAAUCAAAGGUUUAUGGCCCACACUGGAAAAAAAACAACAUCUACACUGAAAAAAUUGUUCAAGAGGGGUUGUUCAAAUUGCAAAAACAAAUUUGACAACAAUAACAGGACUUUUUUACAUUUCUCUGUCCAGCAUGUUUAAAUCUUACAAAGGUCGCUUGAUUGUGGCGGAUGUUAGACCUGCAUGUUUUAACCAGACUGAGGAAGCAUGACUUUAUUAUCAUUUCUGGUGAGGCUCCUCCCUCUGGAAUUCUCCUCCCCAAUUUUUUGGAGGGAAAAUUCAAAUGCAGCAGGACACAGGACAGAUCCAGGAGCAGAGACACACAGUGUGGAGCAGGAGGAUUAUCAGAGCUGAUGUGGAGAGUCUUGUACAAACACAGAGUGACGUCCAGGUUCUGCUGAAGCUGUGGGGAAGUUCAUGAAUGUUACAGCUGAUGUUUCAGGAAAAAGGAAGAUGUUUGAGAACCAACAAACCACAGAGCACAGAUGAACAAAGGUGAUGUGACACUAGGAGACUUUAUACCAGAUGCCCUCCCUGUUACUGUGUUUAGAGGAAGAAAAGCAGCACACG